GAAAGUCGUCGUCGUCAUACAUGUCCCGCUUUAAAAUGGAACGGACGUCAAUUCUGCGCGGAAAUCGUUAAAAAUAGCCAUGUUGAAAAUAUGACGGUUCGACAGUAGGAAGGAACCGUGCAACUACAAUAGAAUCUCGUUCGUUUAUUAACGAACGGAAUCCUCGUUCGUCGCAUUUCGGCGAUUCCCACUAGUUCCAAAACUUCUGACAAUUUAGAGAGUGGGAAAAUAUGGAGUGGGGGUACAGAUCGUGCGAUUAGUUACCUUUUCCAUUGCGCGUACCUCGAUUUUUGCAUGCAUCUUCGGUUCUAUUUCGUCGAACAGCAGGUUAUGUUGUAACAGAAUGAUAUAUCACGAUUCCCGAAAAAAGCCGUGGCACUGAGAAGAGAGGAGAGACGAGAGGAUAUCGGAAACACGUGUACAAGCGUGCAACGGUGCGUACAUUUUCGUAUUUAUGCGGCGACGAGCACGGACACAGCCAUGCAACACGACAACGUGACAAGCGACGCCAUCAAGCCGAGCGUGCGAUUUUAAUAAGCGAACUGCGCGCGCAGCAUGCUUGUAACCGACACGACAGUAAUGGCGGACAUCGAAACGCGGGAAGGAGGUAAUACGCAUAACAUAAUGUUCGAACCUAGCCAAUUAAUAACGCCGUUCAGAUGUCCUUUGUCCAAAUUUCACGCUAUCUUCUGCGUCAAUUCUCUCCAGUUGUGUUGUGGAAAGUUAUGCCGCGUUCGUGCUGUUUUGUGAACAUCUCGCGCAACAUGAUAAUCGGUAGUGUGGAUAUUUGAGUGAAAUUCGAGCAGGUUAGAACGAACAUUCAUGUUCGAAUUCUAAAAUCGAUGUGCCGUACUUUCCAAAAAUGUUCCACGAAUAUUUAUCCUGUACAUCUAAUUAUAAGAAUUAAUAAAAAGUGAAAUGAUAAAUAUACAUUGAAAAGUGAAAAAUUCGAUUCGAAGGAAGGAAGAGUAUAUAUCGAAAAUACAUAACAGCAAUAAUGGAGAUCCGUUUACAUUCAUAGAGCGCAAUCAAGCGGUAUGAAAGCGAAGAUGAACAAGGGAAUCGAUGCGCGGACGUAUAGCUUUCAUUUUUAUUUAAUACCCGUGCCAUAUAUGAAAGUGACUAAAUUUAUUUGCGGAGACAGCAAGAGCCGUUGAUACCAAGGUUUGACGAACCAGUCCAAUCUGGACGUAGAAAGGGACGAUCGAUAGUGGUCUGUGUCCAAUUAAAUUCAUUCAAUUCUAUGACAUUUUGCCGUUUCAUACAGUAUGUACAACACCGGCUAUUAUUAACGGAUUGCCAUUUCUUUGUUCGAAUCGAGAUCCAGAAAAAUUUAACGAGGCUUACUUGGUAAUUGGGUUUAUUAUUAUGCAAAGUUUCUGUACGUUUAAUCGUGAAAUGAGAUACACGGAUAAAAUAUCUUUGCAGAUAAUAAUUUAUGCAUUUUAUGGCUUUAAAGUAAAGAGUAAUUUUGAGAAUAAUGGAUGUUUUGAAAGAGAUGACUAUGCGAAUAUCUUUUCAAAUAUAUUAGAUAUAUUAAAGUUAUUACGCUAAUAUUUAUAUUUAAUUAAUUUAAAUGUAACGCGUGAAUUUUUUAGCUUAACUGUUGAGUGCAAAAAUUUAUUAUUUAUAUUUUCAUUUUUAUGAAAUAUAAAAUUAAACGCUUAUUUUGUUUAAAGCAUUUCUAAUGAUAUCUAAUUACUUAAAAUAUGAAACCGGUUAAGAAGGGGUUGAUCAUUUCUGAAUAUAAAAUAUACCAGAAAGUGUAAUAAUGUAAAAAUUUUGAAAUGAAAACGAAUUUAUUAAUUUUUAUUUUUUUUUACUAAUUUAUAGUAAAUUAAAUAUUCAUCACUGCAUUAAAUAUUCAUAGUUUGAAAUUCGAAAUCAAAAAUCGAACACUUUCAAAACCAAAACUAUUCAAAAACAUUAAAAGCCACGAAUGAUGCAGGUAUUAAACGCAAAAUUGCUUAUUUCCAAGUGCAAAGUUCAAUUCAAGAUAUGAAUAAACAUUGCAUUUAAUUUGAAAUUCCUCGUUCGUGGAAUAAUUCCCACAAUAUUGAUCGAAACCAAUCAAGCAUCGGAUAAUAAAUUUUCACUGAUUCCUCAUUAAUAUAGCGAGACGUUCUUUGUUCUGAAACGAUGUCUGGGUUAUCUCAUCCGAUCGCUUUUUGACCAAUUGAUAUCUUAAAUAAGUAUUCGAAUAUUUAUUAAUCAUUGAAUCGUUGUAACUUGAUAAAAAGUAAUCGUAUAAUAAUCUUCGUGGGAUUAUUUUAAAGAUUGAACUUUCUACUUUAAGUAAAUUUUAAAAUUAGGUGCUAAAUACAAAAUAUAAUAAUGGAUUAUUAUAUAAAGAACUUUUUAAACAUUUGAAUAUUUUUUCUUCUUUAUUUAUCAAUGUAAAAUGAUUUUCAAAAAAAUUUAAGCUAAUCAUAUAGAAAAAUCUCAUCAAUUUUUAAAUAUAUUACAAAGAAAGAAUCAAAAAAGUGAUAUAUAGAAACAGAAUAAUUUCAUUCUAUUUCUGUUUCAAUUAACAAAAGAUAAAUGUCAAUAAUAUACAUAUGGAAUGCCUGUGUACAUAUUUCUUGCAAGUAUCUUGAAAAAUGGAUUUCAACAAUCCAAAGAUUGAUAAAUUCAAAUAUCCAAUAAACAAAGAUUGUGGCGGAUAUUACAAACCAUGUACCAUCAAUUUGCAAAGUGUGCGCAUAUGCAUCACGCUUAAUUUUCGUUAAAGGGAUGAAGAGAGAGAGAAGGAGAGAGAGAGAGAGAGAAGGGAGUAUGCUCCAUUGAGUCGACUGAAAGCUCCGUAAAAUUUUCCACGGUGAAUGUCGACCCGCGUGAAUCCGACCGCUUAUCGCAAAAGAGCAGUCGAUCCACUCGGGAAGCCUGGUCAUUAAUUCACUAAGUAACGACGCAUUGUGUCCCCCCAUAAUUUCUGCACCCCCUUCACGCAUUUUAUCGCCCCUACCUCGUCCCCCUUAUUUUACGUUCGUCCACCAGUCGUAACGAACCGAUGUUGGAGCAUCAGAUAGCUUUUGGGUAAUACCUUUUGAUCUGCUGGUGGAAUCUCUUGUCGUUUGAUUGUUGUGGAUGAAAAAUAUAUAUAUAUAUGGAUGAUUGUUUUCUUUAAUUUUUGUAGAAGAGAGAGAGAGAGAGAGAGUUGUGGAACUAAAUCUUUUGAUCCAAUUUUCAAAUAUAGUGAAAAUAAAAUAAAAAGUAUUUUCAGAAUGGACUUCCAUGUUAAUAAAUUUCGAUAAAAAUUGUGUGGUGAAACUAAACUAUUUGAAUAAAUUCAUGCUAUUGUUUCUA